rnacentral:rRNA from 1 species
UACAGAGGGUGCAAGCGUUAAUCGGAAUUACUGGGCGUAAAGCGUGCGUAGACGGUUAUGUAAGUCGGGUGUGAAAGCCCCGGGCUCAACCUGGGAAUUGCAUUCGAGACUGAAUAGCUAGGGUACGGUAGAGGGAAGCGGAAUUUCCGGUGUAGCGGUGAAAUGCGUAGAUAUCGGAAGGAACAUCAGUGGCGAAAGCAGCUUCCUGGACCAGUACCGACGUUCAGGCACGAAAGCGUGGGGAGCAAACAGG